GUCUACAUAGAUUAUUUUAAAAUCAUGAUGCUGUUAACUUCAAGAAGAACAUUGUUUCUGUAGUCG
rnacentral:tRNA from 1 species